CUAAACAUUCACAAGUAAUAUGAUUCAUUUUAGAUCAUAAACAUUGCAUCCAUCGCUUACAUUUACGAUUCUUUACAUUUCAUUACAUAAUUCCAUCAUGUCUUUCUUACAUCACAUUUACCUCAAAAUAAGCUUUACAUUCUUUCUUUACAUCACUAAUCAUCAAAUACAAAAGAUGAUCUUAAGGUACUUUACUACAAAAUGAAACCCAACAUCGGUGGCCUCUGACUA
rnacentral:lncRNA from 1 species